UAAGAUUCACUCCUUAUCUUGUACCUUAUAUGAGUUUUGACGAGUAUAUGACACGUGUCCAUUAUUACUGUUUCAUACAGAAUAGUAGCACUGCCCUAAAAAUCUCAUGUCUGUACCUAUUCAUCUUUCCAUCCCUCAAUACCCUGAACCCCUGGCAACCUCUGAUCAUUUUACUGUCUCCAGAGUUUUGCUUUUGCCAGAAGUCAUAUAGUUAGAAUCAUAUACUAUAUAGGCUUUUCAGAUUGGCUUCUUUCCCUUAGCAUUAUGCUUUUAGGGUUCCUUUAUGUCUUUUCAUGACUUGAGAAUGGCAAUCCAGCUCAUUUCUUUUUAUUAG
rnacentral:lncRNA from 10 species